UACGGAGGGGCCAGCGUUGUUCGGAAUCAUUGGGCGUAAAGGGCGCGUAGGCGGCCAAUCAAGUCCGACGUGAAAUUCCCCGGCUCAACCGGGGGCCCGUGCGGUCGAUACUGGCUUGGCUUGAGUCCCGGAGAGGGUAGUGGAAUUCCCAGUGUAGCGGUGAAAUGCGUAGAUACUGGGAGGAACACCGGUGGCGAAGGCGGCUACCUGGACGGGUACUGACGCUGAGGCGCGAAAGCUAGGGGAGCAAACAGG
rnacentral:rRNA from 1 species